UGGUAAUGCCGGAUGUUCCACAUGAUCGCAUGUGAUUGUGGGAAAGAUUCUAUCGGCGUGGGAUGGGGUCGCGUCCUAUCAGCUUGUUGGUGAGGUAACGGCUCACCAAGGCUUCGACGGGUAGCCGGCCUGAGAGGGCGACCGGCCACAUUGGGACUGAGAUACGGCCCAGACUCCUACGGGAGGCAGCAGUGGGGAAUAUUGCACAAUGGGCGCAAGCCUGAUGCAGCGACGCCGCGUGAGGGAUGGAGGCCUUCGGGUUGUAAACCUCUUUUGUUUGGGAGCAAGCCUUCGGGUGAGUGUACCUUUCGAAUAAGCGCCGGCUAACUACGUGCCAGCAGCCGCGGUAAUACGUAGGGCGCAAGCGUUAUCCGGAUUUAUUGGGCGUAAAGGGCUCGUAGGCGGCUCGUCGCGUCCGGUGUGAAAGUCCAUCGCUUAACGGUGGAUCUGCGCCGGGUACGGGCGGGCUGGAGUGCGGUAGGGGAGACUGGAAUUCCCGGUGUAACGGUGGAAUGUGUAGAUAUCGGAAAAAAACACCA
rnacentral:rRNA from 1 species